UUUUGUUUAUAGGAAAAGUGUGAAAAGUUUAAACGGAUGAGAGAACAGAAAACUUUACUUCAUAGGACAAGCAGAAAAAGUUUUGCCUGCAUUGAGGAUGAGUUGAAGCAAAAAAGUGAUGAACCUGAUUCAAUAUCAAGGUGUGAUGUGUGGCUUCAUGCUUAUGAAGCAAAGAAGAAGGAUUCAACUGAAGAUGUUGAAGAUCCAGAAGUAGUGAAACAAGUGAAAAAAACCAUGGCAGAACAAGCAACUUCACAAACUCGUUCUGUCAAGGAUGAUGCUGUUUCUAAAGUUUUAGGACCCGAUUGACGAGGACGAGUACGAGGAUAUGGAUUUGGAGCACUUCCUUCAAAGGUAGAUGGUCAAACAUACGUGGGUAGCAAAGUUACAAUGUUGGAGAAUGCACUGCUUGCUACUUCACAAGAGCUGCAAGAGUUGAAAAUGGUGGUAAAAAACAUUUUAGCUCAGUCAGACAAAGGAGAAAAGAAGAAUGAAACUAGCAGUGCUCAGCAUUCUGCCAUUGAGAUUGCACAAAGUAAAAAAGUAAAUGCCACUGCAGAGAGCAAGAAAAGAAAAGAAAAAGAUCGUAGAGUUGGAGGUUCUGAACAUGAAGGAAGCAAGCAUAGCAAGCAGAAGACACAUGCAAGUAUUCAGUCAACAGCCAAAGAAAAGGAAGGUGGGAGUGAAGUAAAGAUGAAGAAAUUACACUUGUUAAGUUGGUUAGAUAAAGAGGAAAAGAUUGUUACAGCUGCAGACCUUCACUCAGAGGAUCCAAACGAGAAAGUACAUUGUGUUCCUCUUGGUCUUGGUUGUUGGAAAGUUUGGGUGCGUGAAGUCUCUCAUGACAUACCUUUGUUUCGGCCAACCCAAGAGUUCACUACGCUUGUUGCAGCUAAAGGAAGCACAGUGGCUUGGCCCAUCAACUUCAUCAAGCUACUUUAAUAUGUGCUAUUUGAGGUAAGCAAUGGAGGCGAAAGCGAAUCAAGAACAUUACCGAUAAGAUGAGUGAUCAUUUCAAAAACAAGAUAGGAAGAGCAUAUAUGAGAUUCGAGGAUGGUCAAGUUUUAGACCUCUUUUUCAUUCUUGCCUCUCAUUUCAUUUUG